ACAAGUCAACAUUAACGCCACAUAUAUUAUCAAAUUGCACAACUUAAUAUACUCAAUACAUUAGCAUAAAUAACAUCACAUUGAACAAUGAAUUUAACACAUUCGAAUAGAUCAAUUUUAAGCUCAAUAACGGUUAAUUUAGCAUGUGAACAACAUAUACGUGUUUUGCAUUUACAACAUGGUUUAAUCAACUUUAAGCAAGAAAUUAAAUGCUGCAAAUUUCCAGCAUUCAAAAUCAUAUAUGGACAACAUUAAUAUGACAUUUUCGAGCACCUUAAAGACACAUUUGGAAAAUUUGAAGAACCAUUCGAACAACCACAUUCGACCAUCUUAAAGACAACUAAAUUUUGUCUUGUUUAGGACAACCUUACAGGUCAGCAAGGUAUGUGUUAAACC
rnacentral:lncRNA from 1 species